CGCGCAUUCGUGGUGACACUAUGAUGAUCAACCUAAUGAGAAAAAAAACACCAGCGUUAUGAGUCGAUAUGAAGUCAAAUAGGUAAUUGAAAAAAUAUCGACAUAGUCAUUCAAUAAUAAUCGAAUAGAAAUAUAUUCAAAUGUUGUACGUUGUACUGGAAUCACGCAAACCAAAUAUUUUUCAAAUAAUUUUAAAUUAGCAGUCAAAGUAAUAAUAUUAUUGUAAGUUUAAUAAAAAUACUUCUAUAUCUACAAACUAUGUUUUACACCUCAAAACCAACGUUUCUAAAAUAGAUAUAAAAUAAACAUUUGUCGGCCUAUAUAAUAAUUGAAAUUAUUAUUCAUAAUUAUGGUACGUGCAGUUUCUAGGGAAAAAAAUUGAAUUCAUGUAUAUUUUUUAACUUAAAAAAGAUAAAAAUUUAUGUUUAGAUAAAUGUGUUUCCUUAAAUAUGACAAUUUUGUACUCAGUUUUAUACAUUUUCACUAUAUUUUAUUUGUCAUGAAUUGUUCAUAUAUAAGUAUAUAAAAGCUAAGAAUUCAAUAUAUGUAUUAUUCAGAUGUUUAACUUUCAAAAAAAACUAACAGGCGUUUACAGUUGUAAAUAAUAAUACUUACACUAAUUCGGGUGUAUCAGUAAAAAUGCAACUAAAUCAUAGCAGUUCAAUUAUUUCUUUUCACUUUGUAUUUUAACGAUUAUUCAUGACAAACUGUUGUGUAUAAAACUAGAACGGAUUGAGGUUAAACAUAUAAACCACCACAAAUCUAAUUUUGUACAUUUACAAAAUAUCGUCCAUAUAUUUUAACGAAAUCGCUUUUGAAAUAUAUUUCAAAAGUGAAUUUUAAUGUUUAAAUUACAUUUUAAUAAACCUAAAUAACAUUAUUUAUUUUUAUAAAAUGGAUUAUAUGUAAAAUUGUACAUUUGUAACAUUGUAGUCAACCGAUUGUUAGAACAAUUGUGUAAAAUAAUCUGGUGCGACUGUACCCUAGCAGUAUUAUCUGGUAUUAAAUACUUUUUCUUUGCAUUUUAUGUUAAUAAAAUAAUCUCCAUAUAAUCUUACAACUUAAAUCUCAUCAUGGUCAUUAUCAAAGGUAUUAUUAAAUCUAUACACACCUGUAAACUAAUACAGCUGCUGACAAAAAACCAAGGAUCAUAAACCAAAACCACAGGAACACAUAUAUCUUCUCGUUGACUGCGUUCAAAGGGAGUAUGCAUAUCGAAUCGUGAGUUUCAACUUCACCAGAAACCCCAAAUUUGUGGAAUAUGCAUUUGGUCAUCCUCGGAAAAAUAUAUAUCAUAGGAUCUAUGCGAUCUUCCUGGUCACUUUCCAAAAAUCGAAUGACGUCUAUACCGAAAGUUAAAAAAGCACCGUCGAAGAAG